rnacentral:rRNA from 1 species
GAACGGCAGCACAGGGGAGCUUGCUCCCCGGGUGGCGAGUGGCGGACGGGUGAGGAAUACAUCGGAAUCUGCCCAGUCGUGGGGGAUAACCUCGGGAAACCGGGACUAAUACCGCAUACGACCUUCGGGUGAAAGCAGGGGAUCGAAAGACCUUGCGCGAUUGGAUGAGCCGAUGUCGGAUUAGCUAGUUGGCGGGGUAAAGGCCCACCAAGGCGACGAUCCGUAGCUGGUCUGAGAGGAUGAUCAGCCACACUGGAACUGAGACACGGUCCAGACUCCUACGGGAGGCAGCAGUGGGGAAUAUUGGACAAUGGGCGCAAGCCUGAUCCAGCCAUGCCGCGUGAGUGAAGAAGGCCUUCGGGUUGUAAAGCUCUUUUGUCCGGAAAGAAAAGCUUUCGGUUAAUACCCGGAAGUCCUGACGGUA